UUAAUUUAAAAAAUUAAAUAAAUUUUUUACAGAUUGCAAAUGAAAUUGCUAAAGUUAAUGGAGUAAAGAAAGUAUUAGUGGCAGAAAAUAGUAUAUAUGAAGGACUUCUUCCAGAACAGCUGACACCCUUAAUUUUACAGAUUCAAGGAAAACUGAAUUUUACUCAUAUUUUAGCUGGGGCCAAUGCUUUUGGAAAAAACAUCCUACCACGGGUAGCAGCAAAAUUAGACGUCUCUCCAAUUUCAGAUGUUAUUGAAAUUCGGGAGCCAGACCUUUUCGUUAGAACUAUUUACGCAGGUAAUGCCAUUCAGACACUAAAAGCCAAAGACCCAGUAAAGGUCCUAACUAUUCGGGCAACUUGUUUUGAAGCUUCAGAAAUAUCAAGUGGUGGUGGAACAGUAGAACCAGGUAAAGAAAUAUGGUCAUUUAAUGUAAUAAGCA